rnacentral:rRNA from 1 species
GACGAACGCUGGCGGCGUGCUUAACACAUGCAAGUCGAACGAAAAGGCCCUGCUUUUGUGGGGUGCUCGAGUGGCGAACGGGUGAGUAACACGUGAGUAACCUGCCCUUGACUUUGGGAUAACUUCAGGAAAAUGGGGCUAAUACCGGAUAGGAGCUCCUGCUGCAUGGUGGGGGUUGGAAAGUUUCGGCGGUUGGGGAUGGACUCGCGGCUUAUCAGCUUGUUGGUGGGGUAGUGGCUUACCAAGGCUUUGACGGGUAGCCGGCCUGAGAGGGUGACCGGCCACAUUGGGACUGAGAUACGGCCCAGACUCCUACGGGAGGCAGCAGUGGGGAAUAUUGCACAAUGGGCGGAAGCCUGAUGCAGCAACGCCGCGUGCGGGAUGACGGCCUUCGGGUUGUAAACCGCUUUCGCCUGUGACGAAGCGUGAGUGACGGUAAUGGGUAAAGAAGCACCGGCUAACUACGUG